CGCUGGCGGCACGCUUAACACAUGCAAGUCGAACGGAGUUAUUGAAGCUUGCUUGAAUAACUUAGUGGCGGACGGGUGAGUAACACGUGAGCAACCUGCCUUUGAGAGUGGAAUAGCUUCUGGAAACGGAUGGUAAUACCGCAUAACAUUACCGGACCGCAUGAUCUGGUAAUCAAAGAUUUAUCGCUCAAAGAUGGGCUCGCGUCUGAUUAGAUAGUUGGUGGGGUAACGGCCUACCAAGUCGACGAUCAGUAGCCGGACUGAGAGGUUGGACGGCCACAUUGGGACUGAGACACGGCCCAGACUCCUACGGGAGGCAGCAGUGGGGAAUAUUGCACAAUGGGCGGAAGCCUGAUGCAGCCGAUGCCGCGUGGAGGAAGAAGGUUUUCGGAUUGUAAACUCCUGAUCUGAGGGACGAUAAUGACGGUACCUCAGGAGAAAGCUCCGGCUAACUACGUGCCAGCAGCAGC
rnacentral:rRNA from 1 species